rnacentral:rRNA from 1 species
GUGGGGAAUAUUGGACAAUGGGCGCAAGCCUGAUCCAGCAAUGCCGCGUGAGUGAUGAAGGCCUUAGGGUUGUAAAGCUCUUUUACCCGGGAUGAUAAUGACAGUACCGGGAGAAUAAGCUCCGGCUAACUCCGUGCCAGCAGCCGCGGUAAUACGGAGGGAGCUAGCGUUGUUCGGAAUUACUGGGCGUAAAGCGCGCGUAGGCGGCUAUUCAAGUCAGGGGUGAAAGCCCGGGGCUCAACCCCGGAACUGCCUUUGAAACUAGGUAGCUAGAAUCUUGGAGAGGCGAGUGGAAUUCCGAGUGUAGAGGUGAAAUUCGUAGAUAUUCGGAAGAACACCAGUGGCGAAGGCGACUCGCUGGACAAGUAUUGACGCUGAGGUGCGAAAGCGUGGGGAGCAAACAGGAUUAGAUACCCGGGUAGUCC